rnacentral:rRNA from 1 species
AACGCGAAGAACCUUACCAAGGUUUGACAUGGACGGAAAUCCUCCAGAGAUGGGGGGUCCUUCGGGGCCGUUCACAGGUGGUGCAUGGCUGUCGUCAGCUCGUGUCGUGAGAUGUUGGGUUAAGUCCCGCAACGAGCGCAACCCUCGUCCAAUGUUGCCAGCGGGUAAUGCCGGGGACUCAUUGGAGACUGCCGGGGUCAACUCGGAGGAAGGUGGGGAUGACGUCAAGUCAUCAUGCCCCUUAUGUCUUGGGCUGCAAACAUGCUACAAUGGCCGGUACAAAGCGCUGCGACACCGUGAGGUGAAGCGAAUCGCAUAAAGCCGGUCUCAGUUCGGAUCGGGGUCUGCAACUCGGCCCCGUGAAGCCGGAGUCGCUAGUAAUCGCAGAUCAGCAACGCUGCGGUGAAUACGUUCCCGGGCCUUGUA